rnacentral:rRNA from 1 species
UACAGAGGGUGCGAGCGUUGUUCGGAAUUAUUGGGCGUAAAGGGCGCGUAGGCGGCUUUAUAAGUCGGGGGUGAAAGCCUGUGGCUCAACCACAGAAUUGCCUUCGAUACUGUAGAGCUUGAGACCGGAAGAGGUAAGUGGAACUGCGAGUGUAGAGGUGAAAUUCGUAGAUAUUCGCAAGAACACCAGUGGCGAAGGCGGCUUACUGGUCCGGUUCUGACGCUGAGGCGCGAAAGCGUGGGGAGCAAACAGG